rnacentral:lncRNA from 1 species
AAAAUCUUUCUGUCCUGUUUUAAAAAUAAAUUCCCCUUGACUCUCUCUGUUCCCCUCCCACCAUAGCUUUCUCGCCUUCUUCCUAUGAUGACGAAGCUUGCCACCUCCUCUUCUCACUUCCCAAUCUCUCCUCAACACAUGGCCAUCUGUCAUCUACCUCCAAUGUUCCAGAAAGCCAGCUCUCACGAAGGUUACCAGCCACCCAGCCCACUGGGUGUUCAGAUGCAGAAUGAACGUAAGAAUGAUGAAGUGGAUGGGCAGAUUUCCAAGGCAGCUGGAAGUAAAUUGGACAACUGCAUGACCCAAAGAUGUAAAGCCAAAAUUUCACAUUCAAAGCAAGUCAGGAGGUAAAACUACACCAUGGAGACAUGAGGGAGAUUGUCAAUGAGACUUUCA